CAGGUAACACCUGGGCGGCGCGAGCCGAUGGAAAGCGCCACAGAAAAUACACCGCCGAAGCUCGGCUGAUUUAUUUCAGGCGGGCUGGUAAGGGUGAAAUGGUGCGGUAAGAGCGCACCGCGCCGGUGGCGACACCAGGCGGCACGGCAAACCCCGCCCGGAGCAAGACCAAAUAGGGGAGCAAGCGGCUUUGCGCCGCACGUGCGGCCCGCACAGGCUCCCGGGUAGGUCGCUUGAGGUGCACGGCGACGUGCAUCCCAGAUGAAUGGUUGUCCUCGACAGAACCCGGCUUAUCGGCCGACUCCUUUU
rnacentral:RNase_P_RNA from 1 species